CCAUCAACAGAAAUCACUUUCUUUGCUCAUCCAAAGAAGCACUCCUCAUGUGUUCAAGUUUUAUCAUGAGAUUGCAGUAAUUUAGUCACAUUUUCAGGAUCCACUUUUUACUCUAGUUCUCUUGCUGUUUAUACCACAUCUUCAGUGACUUCCUCCACAGAAGACUUGAGCCCCUCAAAGUUAUCCAGAUGUGAUUACAUCAACUCCCAAGGAUAAGAGAAUUUGCCACAGAUCAACAAGCAUUUUCAAAGAAUAAAAAUUGUAUAACACACCCAGAUGUUUUUAAUCUAUGCAAAACAAUGAUGGAUACAUACUACCUUCUUCAACUAAUUUUCAAG